rnacentral:rRNA from 1 species
GGCUAACGCUGGCGGCGUGUCUUAGCCAUGCAAGUCGAGCGGACUUAUGGGGUAACUUAUAAGUCAGCGGCGGGCGGCGGAGUAACACGUAGCUAACCUACCCUCUGGACGGGGAUAACCUACCGAAAGGUGGGCUAAUACCCGAUGUAGUCAUCCUGUAUAGGGGUGAUGAAAGGUGGGCUUCUGUUUACAAGCUCAUGCUGGAGGAGGGGGCUGCGGCCUAUCAGGUAGUUGGUAGGGUAAUAGCCUACCAAGCCGAUGACGGGUAGCCGGCCUGAGAGGGUGACCGGCCCGAGGGGCACUGAGAUACGGGUCCCACUCCUACGGGAGGCAGCAGGCUAGAAAUUUGGGCAAUGGGGGAAACCCUGACCCAGUGACGCCGCGUGCAGGAAGGAGCCCUUCGGGGUGUAAACUGCUGUCGUGUAGGGAGAAGGGUACUAAGGUGAACAAUCUUAGUACUUGACGGUACUACAGGAGGAAGCCCAGGCUAACCUCGUG